GGGCAGCGUCUUCCCUUGACAUAUGUUUUAAUGCAUCACAUGGCACAUUUCUUAAGAACAGAAAGGGUUGGUCAACUCUUAAAGGAGCUGCUCACCAAGUUAAUGAAUGCAGACAGUACAGUCCUUACAAUGGAAUUCUAUCAGACCUUUUGUCAAACAGUAAAGCAUCAUGUAAGUAAGGCAUCCUCAUGCCCUUUAUAUCUAGUGAUAUACGGUAUGUACCGUAUGUUAUUCUGUGACUAUAAUCUGUCCCAAACUGUGUUACAGGCUCAGCGGUUAUACAAAACCUCAAUCGAUACUGACCACUAGUGGCAAAUUAUGAAACUACAGGUUUGUUUCACCAUACAACAUGCCAACCCAUACAUAAAGAAUAUUACAUGAUCAUGAGCUUCAAAUUUGAACACCCCCCAAAAAAAAAAGAAAAAAAUGAUUUGUGGAACUCAAAAUGCAGCAUCAUCAUCAGCCCUCAUAUCCUGUUCCAAAUCCCACAGCAUAUCUGUCUGGAAAUCUCACCCUUACUUCCAUGUGUCAACAGUGGAUUAUCUUUGAGGAGAUAAAAGCUUGAUGAUGAUGGCCAUGACUUCUAUUGCAAUAAACCCAGUAUUUUCAGGAUGUGAUCAAAUGGACAUCGUUUAUUCAACCUCAAGACUCAAGUUUCACUUGCGUCCCAAGGACCACUCUGUGACAGAGAAUAACAAUGUUUCCCCCUACCUUUUCCAUAUAUUACAUAUGCACUAGGCCCCUUAAACUCAACUCCGACCUUGAAGCCAGUUCCACUGCUUUUUUAAAAUCGUUCCCCUCUAAUCACUGUUUUAGACCUUGGACACCAGGUGGGUGCAAUUAAGAGUUGAAUACCCCUACAAUAGGCUAUACGGUACACAUCUGGACACAAGUCGAAGGUGGCCAAAUCUGAAGAAAUACAAUGAUCAACUGAAACUAGGGCCGGGAGGAUACCAGUUUCACCAUACUCAUUAGUAUCAUGGCAAGGAAACAAAACAUGAAGCAGAUUCAUCCAGUCACAUUUAUUUCCCAAGCUAUAGCACACAAUUAUUUACAUACAGCAGGUUUUUAAAGGAACAAAGAAUUAGGUCUGCUUCGUGAUUUUAUUUUGGCCAUGGAAAAAAAUAUCAAGAUACAUACUGGUAUUGUCCCGGUCCUAACUAAACCCUUUACAAGGCUCCAAAAAGAGAGUUGCGUGAAAAGAAGUCUAACAUGGCAGAACAUCGUCCAUUGGUGGUGACACAGUCAAACCAUAAUAAAUAAAUGUGCUCGUUGAUGGGAUUGACCUGGUGUGAUGUGAAGCAGAGAGCUGGGGUUGCCUGUACAUGAGUAUGUCUUGUGGUCAUUCCAUCACAUCUCCAUAUGGGGUCUUCUUCGGCCCAGCUGGUUCCUCAGCUGCAGGCUCUGAUACUGCAACACAGACAGCACAGACUGACACCGAGAGAUGUCAGAGAGCUGAAUAAACCCCUGGCCAUAUGUUAUCCCUCUUCAUCAGGUACAGUAUUGUGCACACCAAGAAUUCCGGUGGAGUCCACAUAGAAUAGAAUAGCAGCUAGGGCUGUAG
ensembl:lncRNA